ACGACCUUACUUGAACAGGAUCUGUUCUAUAGGCUCGUACCUCUGUUUCCUUGAUUUCUAAGGAGACAGGCCCUUAUCCCUGGUUGAUGAACCAUGACCGUCCGAUCAGAGCGUGAUUAACGGCCACGAUCUGUUCUUGGACGCAUCCGGUGCUGUAGAGGAUCGUUACUCGGCUCGGUUCUACCUUGCCGGGGUGGUCGCACGGCGGUCUGACAGGUUUUAUCAUCUACCAUGAAAUAUAAAUUUCAGGUCUUGACAAAAAAGAAGAGCUUAGUGAAGCUGAAGAAAUAUGCAGUAAAGCAGCAGCACAAAUUCAUUAUGGUAGUACCGUAGUAGCAGCAAACAGAGUAACAACGACUAGAAUUCUUGAGAGACUCUGAUUGCGAUGG